AUGAACGCUGGCGGCGUGCCUAAUCCAUGCAAGUCGCGCGAACAGACGAGGAGCUUGCUCCUCUGACGUUAGCGGUGGACGGGUGAGUAACACGUGGAUAACCUACCUAUAAGACUGGGAUAACUUCGGGAAACCGGAGCUAAUACCGGAUAAUAUAUUGAACCGCAUGGUUCAAUAGUGAAAGACGGUUUUGCUGUCACUUAUAGAUGGAUCCGCGCCGCAUUAGCUAGUUGGUAAGGUAACGGCUUACCAAGGCAACGAUGCGUAGCCGACCUGAGAGGGUGAUCGGCCACACUGGAACUGAGACACGGUCCAGACUCCUACGGGAGGCAGCAGUAGGGAAUCUUCCGCAAUGGGCGAAAGCCUGACGGAGCAACGCCGCGUGAGUGAUGAAGGUCUUCGGAUCGUAAAACUCUGUUAUUAGGGAAGAACAAAUGUGUAAGUAACUAUGCACGUCUUGACGGUACCUAAUCAGAAAGCCACGGCUAACUACGUG
rnacentral:rRNA from 1 species